rnacentral:rRNA from 1 species
AACGUAGGACACAAGCGUUGUCCGGAUUUAUUGGGCGUAAAGAGCGUGUAGGCGGCCUGAAAGGUCAGCUGUGAAAACUCGAGGCUCAACCUCGAGACGUCGGUUGAAACCAUCUGGCUAGAGUCCGGAAGAGGAGAGUGGAAUUCCCGGUGUAGCGGUGAAAUGCGCAGAUAUCGGGAAGAACACCCGUGGCGAAGGCGGCUCUCUGGGACGGUACUGACGCUGAGACGCGAAAGCGUGGGGAGCGAACAGG